AUGUGUUAAAGAGGCCGCGGUUGUAAAUAGUACUUUUACAUAAGGAAAGGUGCAAUCGCCGAAAUACAUAAUGACUUAAAAAGUCUUGUGUGUUGGGACUAUGCUGAAUAAGUAUAGUACUGUCAACAGAAAUUUGCCCAAUUUUCUGUUGGAGCACUUUCACAUUG
rnacentral:ncRNA from 2 species